UACGUAGGGUGCGAGCGUUAAUCGGAAUUACUGGGCGUAAAGCGUGCGCAGGCGGUUUUGUAAGACAGGCGUGAAAUCCCCGGGCUCAACCUGGGAAUGGCGCUUGUGACUGCAAAGCUAGAGUGCGGCAGAGGGGGGAUGGAAUUCCGCGUGUAGCAGUGAAAUGCGUAGAUAUGCGGAGGAAUACCGAUGGCGAAGGCAAUCCCCUGGGCCUGCACUGGACGCUCAUGCACGAAAGCGUGGGGAGCAAACAGG
rnacentral:rRNA from 1 species